rnacentral:lncRNA from 1 species
CGGUUGGAGAGAACAUCAUCGGAAUUCCAAAAUCUGGCAGUAGGGUGGGCCACUUAGGCCAGUCACCCUGUCUUUCCUGGAAAGAUAAGUUCGAGGGUGGAGAGCCCUCAGUCCGAUCAUGAUUCUACUCCCGGAGGAUCUCUACCUCCAUUCUGUCCGAAGAUCCUCAAGACCCGCAGUCGAGAGGACUUCCUGGAUCGAAGGAUCC